AGUCGAACGGUAGCAGGUCUUCGGAUGCUGACGAGUGGCGGACGGGUGCGUAACGCGUAGGAAUCUGCCUAUUAGUGGGGGACAACUUAGGGAAACUUAAGCUAAUACCGCAUACGCCCUACGGGGGAAAGGAGGGGACCUUCGGGCCUUUCGCUAAUAGAUGAGCCUGCGUUGGAUUAGCUAGUUGGUGGGGUAAAGGCCUACCAAGGCGACGAUCCAUAGCUGGUCUGAGAGGACGAUCAGCCACACUGGGACUGAGACACGGCCCAGACUCCUACGGGAGGCAGCAGUGGGGAAUAUUGGACAAUGGGCGAAAGCCUGAUCCAGCAAUACCGCGUGUGUGAAGAAGGCCUUAGGGUUGUAAAGCACUUUCAAUUGGAAGGAAAAACUCAUGGCCAAUACCCAUGAGCUUGACAUUACCUUUAGAAGAAGCACCGGCUAACUCCGUGCCAGCAGCCGCGGUAAUACGGAGGGUGCGAGCGUUAAUCGGAAUUACUGGGCGUAAAGCGUGCGUAGGCGGCUCGUUAAGUCAGAUGUGAAAGCCCUGGGCUCAACCUGGGAACGGCAUUUGAAACUGGCGAGCUAGAGUUUGGGAGAGGAGAGUGGAAUUUCAGGUGUAGCGGUGAAAUGCGUAGAGAUCUGAAGGAACACCAGUGGCGAAGGCGACUCUCUGGCCUAAAACUGACGCUGAGGUACGAAAGCGUGGGUAGCAAACAGGAUUAGAUACCCUGGUAGUCCACGCCGUANACGAUGUCAACUAGCCGUUGGCUCUCUUAGAGAGUUAGUGGCGCAGCUAACGCAUUAAGUUGACCGCCUGGGGAGUACGG
rnacentral:rRNA from 1 species